UGAGUACGAGAUGCUACGGCAUCGAAGCAGUCUAUGUCAUACUUCCAAGAAAAGCUUGCAAUGUCAUAAACAAAUAAUGCCUGUACCAUAACCGACACAGGUGGGUAGGUAGAGUAUACUAAGGGGCGCGAGAUAACUCUCUCUAAGGAACUCGGCAAAAUGACUCCGUAACUUCGGGAGAAGGAGUGCCUUAUUUUUAUAAGGUUGCAAUAACAAGAUCCGAGCAACUGUUUACCAAAAACACAGGUCUCCGCUAAGUCGUAAGACGAUGUAUGGGGGCUGACGCCUGCCCAGUGCCAGAAGGUUAAAGAAGUUGGUUAGCAUUAGCGAAGCUGAUAACUGAAGCCCUGGUGAACGGCGGCCGUAACGAUAACGGUCCUAAGGUAGCGAAAUUCCUUGUCGGGUAAGUUCCGACCCGCACGAAAGGCGUAAUGAUUUGGAUACUGUCUCGGAGAGGGGCUCGGUGAAAUAGACUUGUCUGUGAAGAUGCGGACUACCUGCACCUGGACAGAAAGACCCUAUGAAGCUUUACUGUAACUUGAGAUUGAAAUUGGACUUUAUCUGCGCAGUAUAGGUGGGAGACGUUGAAAAUAUUCUUGCGGGAAUAUUGGAGUCAUCAGUGAGAUACCACUCUUAUAAUGUUAGAUUUCUACUUUGUAUCAUUAUCUGGUCAAAGAACAGUUUCAGGCGGGCAGUUUGACUGGGGCGGUCGCCUCCCAAACGGUAACGGAGGCGCACAAAGGUUUCCUCUGAACGUGUAGAAAUCGUAUCUAGAGUGUAAAGGCAUAAGGAAGCUUGACUGUGAGACCUACAAGUCGAGCAGGGACGAAAGUCGGUCUUAGUGAUCUGACGGUGCUGAGUGGAAAGGCCGUCACUCAACGGAUAAAAGUUACUCUAGGAUAACAGGCUGAUCUCCCCCAAGAGUUCACAUCGACGGGGAGGUUUGGCACCUCGAUGUCGGCUCACCGCAUCCUGGGGCGGUAGUACGUCCCAAGGGUUGGGCUGUUCGCCCAUGAAAGCGGUACGCGAGCUGGGUUCAGAACGUCGUGAGACAGUUCGGUCCAUAUCCGGUGUAGGCGUUAGAAUAUUGAGAGGAGCCUUCUUUAGUACGAGAGGACCGAGAAGGACAUACCUCUGGUGUACCAGUUAUCGUGCCAACGGUAAACGCUGGGUAGCCAUGUAUGGAGAGGAUAACCGCUGAAAGCAUCUAAGUGGGAAGCCCACCUCAAGAUAAGUAUUC
rnacentral:rRNA from 1 species